CGCGCGCGCAGCAGUCUCGGCUGUUUUGUGGUGAGAAGGUAGUGUUUCGCGGUGCCCUUUGUUGACCCUGCUAUGCGGGGCAGGGAAGAUCUGGACUGCCAAGAACCACAUUCGAGCUCGGAUAACUUUCCGUGCCCCAAGAGGGAAACAUUUAUUACAGUACCGUUUCUCAUGGAACAAGAACACGUAGUUUCAUGGUGCACGGCUGCCAGAUGUUUCCCAGGUUUCAAUGUCCCAGGUAGAUAAAGGAAAAUUCGGCAAGGUCAGAAGAGAGAAGAACAGAUUUAUCAUGAAAUAGGAAUGGUAACUGUGUCCCAAGUGUACAGAAGGGGAAGAAUUGAAGUCUUUCUGGAAGAAAAUAGAUACGAUCCAACGUGAAUCAAGAAAUAGAAUUAUUAGCAUAUUCUUUCAAUACCAAGAAGUAAAUUCCAGAUGCAAUGAAGACUUUCUUUCCAGAGACAGAAUCUUGAGAAAGUUCCAGCUGCCCUAGGAAGAGGCUUUGGAUCUGCGCAAGUGCCAAAGCUGGCUUUUCAAGAUAAUGUAUGGGGACUUCCCUGGUGGCGCAGUGGUUAAGAAUCUGUCUGCCAAUGCAGGGGACAUGGGUUUGAGCCCUGUUCCGGGAAGAUCCCACAUGCCAAGGAGCAACUAAGCGCAUGCGCUACAACUACUGAGCCUGUGCUCUCGAGCCCGUGAGCCACAACUACUGAGCCCACACGCCACAACUACUGAAGCCCGUGUGCCUAGAACCCGUGCUGCACAACAAGAGAAGCCUGCGCACCGCAACGAAGAGUAGCUCCUGCUCACUGCAACUAGAGAAAGCCCCCGUGCAGCAGCGAGACACAACGCAGUCAAAAAUCAAUCAAUUAAUUAUUUAAUUUAAAAAAGAUAAUGUAUGGAGCUUCAGAGUCAAAUGAUAUGUUUGUAUGGAUGUCAGUGUCCUUAGAAGCAUCACUCUCACACACCCAAGGUGGAGCUUCUUGAAAGACGAUCGCAGUUAAGGAGUUUGCACCGUGUGACCUUUUAGAUCAGCCUGUGGCCGCUUUGCAGAAACCUUCGAGGUUUACAAAUGGGUUACUGCUCAAAUUCCAGAACACCAGGACUGUGCUCCAUUGUCCCCAGCUCUCACAUUCAGUAUUUUAUUGUUUCACAUUGUGCUUUAACUUCCUCCAGGAGGUUAACAGCAGAAGCCAGCUGAACAUGUUGAAAACCUUUUACUUACGUUUGUGGAGCUGACUGUGCCACACAGGUGAAUGGAAAUUUCUUUGUUCCAGGAGGGCUGGCUCUUUCAACAGUUAUCUUGGUGCUCUUGUAUUGUCUGUCAUGUGUAAAACAAACACAUUUACCUCUAUUUACCUUUUAUGAAU